ACUCCUACGGGAGGCAGCAGUAGGGAAUCUUCCACAAUGGGCGCAAGCCUGAUGGAGCAACACCGCGUGAGUGAAGAAGGGUUUCGGCUCGUAAAGCUCUGUUGUUAAAGAAGAACACGUAUGAGAGUAACUGUUCAUACGUUGACGGUAUUUAACCAGAAAGUCACGGCUAACUACGUGCCAGCAGCCGCGGUAAUACGUAGGUGGCAAGCGUUAUCCGGAUUUAUUGGGCGUAAAGAGAGUGCAGGCGGUUUUCUAAGUCUGAUGUGAAAGCCUUCGGCUUAACCGGAGAAGUGCAUCGGAAACUGGAUAACUUGAGUGCAGAAGAGGGUAGUGGAACUCCAUGUGUAGCGGUGGAAUGCGUAGAUAUAUGGAAGAACACCAGUGGCGAAGGCGGCUACCUGGUCUGCAACUGACGCUGAGACUCGAAAGCAUGGGUAGCGAACAGGAUUAGAUACCCCUGGUAGGAUAGAG
rnacentral:rRNA from 1 species